ensembl:lncRNA
CCUCAGGAGUCCUGAUGAAGUAUUUGUUAAUUAUGUCUUUUGUGUGGUAAGUAAACCAUAAAUGUGCAUUUACUGUAUUUUUCAAUGUGUCAAUGCAGUUUGUGUGUGUUUUGUCAUUUAAAGGUUUUCAUUGAGUCUGGGCUACUUCUGCCUUAUGCUGAAUGUGGGUGGGUUUGGUCUGAACAUCUUCCUGGUUCAGUUUUUUUUUGGGUUUUCUGAGCUUCUAGCAUCCCUCGUCUGUUUAUGGGUGCUGGAGUUAUCGGGGAGGAAAAAGUGUCUGAUGGCAACCCUUAUGACAGCCGGCUUUCUUUGCCUCUUGACCCUGGCUUUCCCUCGAGGUGAGCUUUCUGCCUCUGUUCACACUUCUGUCUGAGUGUCGGUGCUCUGAUAUUUUCUUCUUCAUCGUUCCAGACAGCGCUGUUGUCAUCACCAUCCUUGCAAUAAUGGGGAAGUUCUUUUUUAGCUGGGCUUCUUCAGUGUGUACGAUCUAUAUUCAGGAGUUGUUCCCCACUUCUGUCAGGUUUCAUAACAUAACACAAACUUUAUCACACCAAUAUUCAUACAUAAAUGUGAAGGUUAAUUCCAUCUUCUGCUCUGUAGACAAUCGGCUGUUGGCUUGGUCUACACAGCCUAUAGAGUAGGAGGGCUGAUGUCUUCGGUGCUGAACAUGUUGGCCGUGUACCACUGGUCUGUACCCACCACAGUGUUCAGCAGCCUUGCUGUGGUCAGUGGGGCUCUUGUAUUCCUGCUUCCUGAGACCAGUAAAAAGGAGCUUCCUGAUUCAACCAGUGAGGCCAAAGGCAACAGGACUAUAAGUGACGGGGAGACAGAAGGCAACUUGGCUGAAAACAACAGAAAAUCCACCAAACUCUAAUUAACGUACUGGUUUCUAUAAGUGAUUUUACCAUCAGAGGACUGAUGAAGAAUGAUGAAGGUCAAUGUUGGUUAUUAUACAUCCUUUGUUAUAAACCCUCCUAGUGGUUGACACGCUGCUUCCACCACUCACGUCUGUUAACUGUUGUGAGUGCUACAACAAUACAUACACACACACAUAUGACACACACACACAAAUGUUGUAAGUUCACAAUGUUUUGGGUCGGCU